GGGCCCGCACAAGCGGUGGAGCAUGUGGUUUAAUUCGAUGCAACGCGAAAAACCUUACCUACUCUUGACAUACUUGGAAGCUCUUGUAAUGAGAGUGUGCCUUUUGGAACCAAGAUACAGGUGCUGCAUGGCUGUCGUCAGCUCGUGUCGUGAGAUGUUCCGUUAAGUCGGAUAACGAGCGCAACCCUUACCCUUAUUUGCCAGCGAUCGGUCGGGAACUAUAAGGGGACUGCCGGUGAUAAACCGGAGGAAGGUGAGGACGACGUCAAGUCAUCAUGGCCCUUACGAGUAGGGCUACACACGUGCUACAAUGGGGAAUACAGACGGACGCUAAGCCGCGAGGUGGUGCUAAUCCUAGAAAGUUUCUCGU
rnacentral:rRNA from 1 species